AGUGCUCAGAGGGUCUGUGGUCAUGGUGAGAAGAACCCUGCAGCUCCUGGAAGGGCGAGAGGACCCGGAGAGGCUUCCUCUCCCAGACUCAGCUGUGCUUUGGGGAGGGGGAGUGACCCAAGGCCAGCCCAGCCGUAGUCCUGGGAGGCAGCAUCGCCCGGUUAGGGCUUCCUGCGUGUCGCCGGGGGCCUUGCUCUGGUUUCUGGCUGACCUUGUUGGGCACUGGAGGAUCCUAGUGGGGGCUCUGCUCGCUGGAGCGAGAGGACCCUCUGGGGCGUGGGACCGGCAGUGGCCUGGACGUGAGCAGAGGAGGAAAGUCCUGCUUCAGGCAGCCCUUCAGGGAGGGACAGGGAUCGCCCGAGAGUGACCCACUGGCAGCAGGGACGGCCCUCCUGCUCUGUUUGUGUCCACAGCACGUGGAGACGUUCUCUUCCAGAUGGCUGAAGUCCACAGGCAGAUCCAGAAUCAGCUGGAAGAAAUGCUGAAGUCUUUUCACAACGAGCUGCUCACGCAGCUGGAGCAGAAGGUGGAGCUGGACUCCAGGUAUCUGAGUGCUGCGCUGAAGAAAUACCAGA
rnacentral:sRNA from 1 species